rnacentral:rRNA from 1 species
UAGGGAAUCUUCGGCAAUGGGGGCAACCCUGACCGAGCAACGCCGCGUGAGUGAAGAAGGUUUUCGGAUCGUAAAGCUCUGUUGUAAGAGAAGAACGAGUGUGAGAGUGGAAAGUUCACACUGUGACGGUAACUUACCAGAAAGGGACAGCUAACUACGUGCCAGCAGCCGCGGUAAUACGUAGGUCCCGAGCGUUAUCCGGAUUUAUUGGGCGUAAAGCGAGCGCAGGCGGUUAGAUAAGUCUGAAGUUAAAGGCUGUGGCUUAACCAUAGUACGCUUUGGAAACUGUUUAACUUGAGUGCAGAAGGGGAGAGUGGAAUUCCAUGUGUAGCGGUGAAAUGCGUAGAUAUAUGGAGGAACACCGGUGGCGAAAGCGGCUCUCUGGUCUGUAACUGACGCUGAGGCUCGAAAGCGUGGGGAGCAAACAGGAUUAGAUACCCUGGUAGUCCACGCCGUAAACGAUGAGUGCUAGGUGUUGGGUCCUUUCCGGGACUCAGUGCCGCAGCUAACGCAUUAAGCACUCCGCCUGGGGAGUACGGCCGCAAGGUUA